rnacentral:rRNA from 1 species
UACGUAGGGCGCAAGCGUUGUCCGGAAUUAUUGGGCGUAAAGAGCUCGUAGGCGGCCUGUUGCGUCCGCUGUGAAAACCCGGGGCUUAACCCUGGGCUGGCAGUGGAUACGGACAGACUAGAGGUAGGUAGGGGAGAAUGGAAUUCCCGGUGUAGCGGUGAAAUGCGCAGAUAUCGGGAGGAACACCGGUGGCGAAGGCGGUUCUCUGGGCCUUACCUGACGCUGAGGAGCGAAAGCGUGGGGAGCGAACAGG